GUCGUGAGAUGUUGGGUUAAGUCCCGCAACGAGCGCAACCCCUGUCCCAUGUUGCCAGCGAUUCGGUCGGGGACUCAUGGGAGACUGCCGGUGACAAAUCGGAGGAAGGUGGGGAUGAUGUCAAGUCAUCAUGCCCCUUAUGUCCAGGGCUACACACGUGCUACAUUGGCCGGUACAAAGGGCUGCAAACCCGCGAGGGGGAGCGAAUCCCAAAAAGCCGGUCCCGGUUCGGAUUGGAGGCUGAAACUCGCCUCCAUGAAGUCGGAGUUGCUAGUAAUCGCGGAUCAGCAACGCCGCGGUGAAUACGUUCCCGGGCCUUGUACACACCGCCCGUCACACCACGAAAGUCGGCAACACCCGAAGCCGGUGGCCUAACCCCUUGUGGGAGGGAACCGUCGAAGGUGGGGUUGAUGAUUGGGGUGAAGUCGUAACAAGGUAGCCGUAGCGGAAGCUGCGGCUGGAUCACCUCCUUUCUAGGGAAUUCCGGAGCAAUUACUCCGGUAGGUUGGCCGGCUCGUUGAUGAUCGUUUCUUGAUCGUCCGAUGCCCGGUCUCUCCUGGAAUUACGUCGACCUCGAUGCUCUGUUAGUCCGCUCACCACGAGGGUACUGAUGGAGCUCACGCUGUUGAGUUUUGAAAGACGGGCGCUCUGUUGGCUUCAAUGCCAAUACGCCUGGUCGCGUGCACCUUGAAAACUCCAUAGUGGUGAAAACGUGUUCUUUUCGAUCAAGAGAACAAGAGCACACGGUGGAUGCCUUGGCGCUGAGAGCCGAUGAAGGACGUGGGCGGCUGCGAUAAGCCCGGGUGAGGUGCUGACCAACCUUUGACCCCGGGAUCU
rnacentral:sRNA from 1 species